AACAAAUACAACACAAAUUACUGUUGAUUGGAGGGAUGAGGUCCCUGAACCAAUAUCAGUUGAUUGUAUUCAUGAAAGUUAUAUGGAGGGGAAGAUAUUGAUGUUUUUUUGAAGUACUUUUAUGUAAAGUGAUUUAUUUUACAUUUAGUAGAUUUUAGAGAAGUAAAAUAAAAUGUAACUAAUUGCAUUCCAGAAAAGAGGUCUCUUAUCAGUGUCAAAUUUGUUUGAGAUCUCUAUGUCAUGUCGUUGAGAAGGUAUUGAUAUUUUCCAUUUACAGGCAAUUGUAUGCGAUGCAGUUUUAAGACGGUUCCUUAACCCUCUGAACAGAGGAUGGCACAUUUUUAGCUACAUUUCACCUCCAAAAAGUGAAUAUGACACCGAAUGGUAAAAACAAGGGGUUUAACUUAUUCACUAUCAUCAGCUGAUUUAGAAUAUUACAUUUAUUUGUUUUUUAUUUAUUUAACUAGUUCAGUCAGUUAAGAACAAAUUCUUAUUUACAACAACUACCUAGGAACAGUAGGUUAACUGCCUUAUCCAGUUGUCUUGAAAGAACCAUAAAUCCAGAGAAUGACAGACUUUGAUGCCAAACCGCCGCUACACCUUCCUGUUCAAGUGAGCACAACACAACAAGGACUGUAGAGGUGGUAAGCAGAGAUGAAUUUAACUAGGAUACAGAUGAGAGUCUCUGUUCUAGGGAGGAGGGAUACUGACCUUCGAUGGUUUGUUGCCUGAUAAAGAGGAUACUUGCUGGCUUGAGGAGACUAUAAUGUUUUGAGGAGGAAAUGUGGCUCGAUGACUUAAAGAGGAGGAGGAAUUAUUGGGCGACACUUUUAAUUACCAACGUAACCUCAGUGGAACUGUGGCUUCAUUGAGUUCCAGCUCUAGGCAGACAGCACGUCAGGAAUGCUGUAAGACAUCACAGAGACAGGUAAGUAUCUAUAUAUUUACAUGUGUGUUGCAUGUACACUAAACCCUCACAUUUGGAUAAUGUCACUUUUUAAAGUGAUGACAUGUAUAUUAACAGUGUAAAACAUGAAUAGAUGUUUAAACAUUCUUUACCCCAUCCUAAUUUUCUUCCAGAUGCUUGGCUUUUUCUUUGUCUUUGUGUUGGAGAUUGGCUCUGAUGUUUCAGCCUCUUCUGGAGCUUCUAGCUGCUGGCUGUCUGGCCCCCCCUGAUGGUUCUCUGGCCCCUCCUGCUGGUUCUCUGAACUCCCCUCCUGGUUGUCUGCCCAUGCCUGUUGCCUCCUUGGCCUUUCCUGGUGGCCAUCAGCAGAUCCAGUGGGCUCUUGGCUUACUUGUUGGCCUGUGGCCCACCAGGGCAACUCCUGACCGUGGUUGUAAUCGUGGCUGUGUUGGGUGGUUAGACACCGGGUGUUGAUUUGAGCAUCAGCCUCCAGAUUCAUCUGAUCCAGGUAGUUUUCCUUCAUCCUCUCCCUCUCCUCCUUCAGUUGUUGAUGCGUGUGUUUUUUAAGCAGGGACCGCUCUCUCCACUGCUUAUUGAAAUCCUCCAUCUUCUUCCUUCUCUCCUCAGCCUUCAGCAGCUCCUUCCUCUUCUCCCUCUCUCUCUCUGCCCGGGUCAUGGUGGAUGUUAGCCUUGUGUGUCCAGGGAUGGCUGGGAGGGGAGAAGAAGUAGAGUUUACAUUCAACUUAGUGGAUCUGGUAUCAACUUAAAUGUAAUGGACACAGGGAAUGAAGAAUAGAAAACACAAUUGGAUCUCAAUGAUUCUUUACUCUUUUCAGUUGAGCAAGGCAUGGAAUGUGUCAAUAAAGUGCAAUAAUUCCCA